rnacentral:rRNA from 1 species
UACGUAGGGUGCAAGCGUUGUCCGGAAUUAUUGGGCGUAAAGAGCUCGUAAGCGGUCUGUCGCGUCGGCUGUGAAAACUCGGGGCUCAACCCCGAGCCUGCAGUCGAUACGGGCAGACUAGAGUGCGGUAGGGGAGACUGGAAUUCCUGGUGUAGCGGUGAAAUGCGCAGAUAUCAGGAGGAACACCAACAGCGAAGGCAGAUCUCUGGGACGUAACUGACGCUGAGACGCGAAAGCGUGGGGAGCAAACAGG